rnacentral:hammerhead_ribozyme from 1 species
AUUGGCUGACGAGUCCCAAAUAGAACGAAACGCGCGCCCUGGAU